UAGUCUUGUAAUUGGAAUGAGUACAAUUUACAUCUCUUAACGAUGAUCAAUUGGAGGGCAAGUCUGGUGCCAGCAGCCGCGGUAAUUCCAGCUCCAAUAGCGUAUAUUAAAGUUGUUGCAGUUAGAACGCUCGUAGUCGGAUUUCGGGGCGGUCCGACCGGUCUGCCGAUGGGUACGCACUGGUCGGAGCGUCCUUCCUGCCGGAGACCGUGCCUACUCUUAACUGAGCGGGGGCGGGAGACGGCACUUUUACUUUGAAAAAAUCAGAGUGUUUCAAGCAGGCAGCUCGCUCUUGCAUGGAUUAGCAUGGGAUAAUGAAAUAGGACUUUGGUGCUAUUUUGUUGGUUUCGAACACCGAAGUAAUGAUGAGAAGGGACAGUCAGGGGCACUCGUAUUCCGCCGAGAGAGGUGAAAUUCUCAGACCAGCGGAAGACGAACCACUGCGAAAGCAUUUGCCAGGGAUGUUUUCACUGAUCAAGAACGAAAGUUAGGGGAUCGAAGACGAUCAGAUACCGUCGUAGUCUUAACCAUAAAACAUGCCGACUAGGGAUUGGAGGAUGUUCACUGAUUGACUCCUUCAGCACCUUACGGGAAACUAAAGUCUUUGGGUUCCGGGGGGAGUAUGGUCGCAAGGCUGAAACUUAAAGGAAUUGACGGAAGGGC
rnacentral:rRNA from 1 species